rnacentral:tRNA from 1 species
UCUAAUAUGGCAGAUUAGUGCAAUGAGCUUAAGAUUCAUAUAUGAAAAUAUUUUUUUAUUAGAA